rnacentral:rRNA from 1 species
CGGCGAUGUCCGAAUGGGGAAACCCAGUGCAAUUCGUUGCACUAUCGUUAACUGAAUACAUAGGUUAACGAGGCGAACCGGGGGAACUGAAACAUCUAAGUACCCCGAGGAAAAGAAAUCAACCGAGAUUCCCCCAGUAGCGGCGAGCGAACGGGGAGCAGCCCAGAGUCUGAAUCAGCUUGUGUGUUAGUGGAACGGUCUGGAAAGUCCGACGGUACAGGGUGAUAGUCCCGUACACCAAAAUGCACAGGUUGUGAACUCGAAGAGUAGGGCGGGACACGUGGUAUCCUGUCUGAAUAUGGGGGGACCAUCCUCCAAGGCUAAAUACUCCUGACUGACCGAUAGUGAACCAGUACCGUGAGGGAAAGGCGAAAAGAACCCCGGCGAGGGGAGUGAAAAAGAACCUGAAACCGUGUACGUACAAGCAGUGGGAGCACCUUCGGGUGUGACUGCGUACCUUUUGUAUAAUGGGUCAGCGACUUAUAUUCUGUAGCAAGGUUAACCGUAUAGGGGAGCCGCAGGGAAACCGAGUCUUAACUGGGCGUUAAGUUGCAGGGUAUAGACCCGAAACCCGGUGAUCUAGCCAUGGGCAGGUUGAAGGUUGGGUAACACUAACUGGAGGACCGAACCGACUAAUGUUGAAAAAUUAGCGGAUGACUUGUGGCUGGGGGUGAAAGGCCAAUCAAACCGGGAGAUAGCUGGUUCUCCCCGAAAGCUAUUUAGGUAGCGCCUCGUGAAUUCAUCUUCGGGGGUAGAGCACUGUUUCGGCUAGGGGGUCAUCCCGACUUACCAACCCGAUGCAAACUACGAAUACCGAAGAAUGUUAUCACGGGAGACACACGGCGGGUGCUAACGUCCGUCGUGAAGAGGGAAACAACCCAGACCGCCAGCUAAGGUCCCAAAGUCAUGGUUAAGUGGGAAACGAUGUGGGAAGGCACAGACAGCCAGGAUGUUGGCUUAGAAGCAGCCAUCAUUUAAAGAAAGCGUAAUAGCUCACUGGUCGAGUCGGCCUGCGCGGAAGAUGUAACGGGGCUAAACCAUGCACCGAAGCUGCGGCAGCGACACUAUGUGUUGUUGGGUAGGGGAGCGUUCUGUAAGCCUGCGAAGGUGACCUGUGAGGGUUGCUGGAGGUAUCAGAAGUGCGAAUGCUGACAUAAGUAACGAUAAAGCGGGUGAAAAGCCCGCUCGCCGGAAGACCAAGGGUUCCUGUCCAACGUUAAUCGGGGCAGGGUGAGUCGACCCCUAAGGCGAGGCCGAAAGGCGUAGUCGAUGGGAAACAGGUUAAUAUUCCUGUACUUGGUGUUACUGCGAAGGGGGGACGGAGAAGGCUAUGUUAGCCGGGCGACGGUUGUCCCGGUUUAAGCAUGUAGGCUGNAAAUCGUACCCCAAACCGACACAGGUGGUCAGGUAGAGAAUACCAAGGCGCUUGAGAGAACUCGGGUGAAGGAACUAGGCAAAAUGGUGCCGUAACUUCGGGAGAAGGCACGCUGGUGUGUAGGUGAAGUCCCUGCGGAUGGAGCUGAGACCAGUCGAAGAUACCAGCUGGCUGCAACUGUUUAUUAAAAACACAGCACUGUGCAAACACGAAAGUGGACGUAUACGGUGUGACGCCUGCCCGGUGCCGGAAGGUUAAUUGAUGGGGUUAUCCGUAAGGAGAAGCUCUUGAUCGAAGCCCCGGUAAACGGCGGCCGUAACUAUAACGGUCCUAAGGUAGCGAAAUUCCUUGUCGGGUAAGUUCCGACCUGCACGAAUGGCGUAAUGAUGGCCAGGCUGUCUCCACCCGAGACUCAGUGAAAUUGAACUCGCUGUGAAGAUGCAGUGUACCCGCGGCAAGACGGAAAGACCCCGUGAACCUUUACUAUAGCUUGACACUGAACAUUGAGCCUUGAUGUGUAGGAUAGGUGGGAGGCUUUGAAGCGUGGACGCCAGUCUGCGUGGAGCCAACCUUGAAAUACCACCCUUUAAUGUUUGAUGUUCUAACGUUGGCCCCUUACCGGGGUUGCGGACAGUGUCUGGUGGGUAGUUUGACUGGGGCGGUCUCCUCCCAAAGCGUAACGGAGGAGCACGAAGGUUAGCUAAUCCUGGUCGGACAUCAGGAGGUUAGUGCAAUGGCAUAAGCUAGCUUGACUGCGAGCGUGACGGCGCGAGCAGGUGCGAAAGCAGGUCAUAGUGAUCCGGUGGUUCUGAAUGGAAGGGCCAUCGCUCAACGGAUAAAAGGUACUCCGGGGAUAACAGGCUGAUACCGCCCAAGAGUUCAUAUCGACGGCGGUGUUUGGCACCUCGAUGUCGGCUCAUCACAUCCUGGGGCUGAAGUAGGUCCCAAGGGUAUGGCUGUUCGCCAUUUAAAGUGGUACGCGAGCUGGGUUUAGAACGUCGUGAGACAGUUCGGUCCCUAUCUGCCGUGGGCGCUGGAGAAUUGAGGGGGGCUGCUCCUAGUACGAGAGGACCGGAGUGGACGCAUCACUGGUGUUCGGGUUGUCAUGCCAAUGGCACUGCCCGGUAGCUAAAUGCGGAAGAGAUAAGUGCUGAAAGCAUCUAAGCACGAAACUUGCCCCGAGAUGAGUUCUCCCUGAGACUUUAAGUCUCCUGAAGGAACGUUAAAGACGAUGACGUUGAUAGGCCGGGUGUGUAAGCGCAGCGAUGCGUUGAGCUAACCGGUACUAAUGAACCGUGAGGCUUAACCUU